AUUCUUCACAGCUGAGCUACCAGGGAAGCCCCUUAUUGACCCUAAUGUUCUCUAUAAGAAGCUCUACGCUGGUAGGAAGAACAUGUAACUUCAGCCCAUUCUCGAGAUGAGAAUACUGAAAACAGACAGGAGAGGUAAAGCGACCUCCAGGGAGUCCACUCCCACCUUACAAAUGGGCUGAGGACAGAAGGGUAUGCAGCUUGCUUGGAGCCAGACAGGGCCGAGAGGAGAGUGCUUACAAACCAAGCGUCAGACUCCACUGCAGCCCGCCCCUGCCGCUCUGGCAGGGGUGCCUGUCUGAUCUUCCAGAGUUAUUCAAGCAAUUUUGACUCUGGAGUGCUUCCUUAUAACAAACCAGAUUUCUUGGAUCCUAGCAACUGUGUGCCAGGAAUUUUAAAAGGAGCGUCAGUGCCAAACCCUCCUUACCAACCCGUUCGCAGGCCCUUCCACUUCUCCGCAGGCCUGCUUUUCAUUCACUGUACGGAAUUUCACAGACGUGGGUCUGGGCAGCUGCAAAUCUCGGAGGCUGAUUCAGGCUCUAGAGCUCUUGACCUGCUGAAGCCCUGGUCUCCUCACAGGCUGAGCAGAGAGAUGCACUCCUAGUGCUUGUGACGCUGCAGUCCGAGCCCAUUUUAUUAAAACCAGCCUGAACAUCCCCCCUGACGUGUAAGGCAGGCACCUUAUCCUCAGUCUGCAGAUGGUAGCAGAGGGUGAAGUGGAUUACCCAUGGUCACACGACUGGCCAGGAGGUGGCUGCACUGAAUGGAUUUUAUUUAGAUAACCAUGCCUCGUGAUCACCACCAAACUGGUUCUUUGUGUGACCAACGCGUGGCUUCAUUUUAAGCAAAAACCUCGUUUCCAAAAAUAAAAAUAGGGGGAAAUGAGGAUUCAUUGGUCUGACUUUAUAGAAACAAUUCACCUUCAGAUUUCCUUAAAUAGCAAUUUCUCCCGUGCAUGAAAAAAAAAAAAAAAGGAUUAGAGCUACACACAGUUCUCUCAGGUCGGCCAAAAACAGGCCCGGGGGUGGGAGGAACGGCCUGGCACCACCCCGCUGGCGUUCCUUCCACUACAAUCUGCUUUUCGGUUGCAUGGCAACUUCAGUCUACGGCAGCUACUAUGUCCCCGGCUCCAGCAUCUUUCCGCGACGCAGAGCUCCAUGGAUAGAACUCAAAGCCAACAGAUGGCCAAGUUGGUCGAAAAAAAUCCCAGCACGUUGAUCACGCGUGGCAAUUCACAAAGGUGUGUUUCCCACUGAAAGCAAAUGGGGUUCUUGGCAGUUGAGGCUGACACGGUAAAGCCAGGACCUUGAUGGCCACACAAUUCCUGGGUGCAAGUCCGGGCAGCCUGCUGGGGAGGGACCAUGACCUCACCGUGGGGACUCAGCCUUCUACUCACAGCCACGUCGCACGCACAGCACAUGCAAGUUCGGGUGGACUGAAUUAAGUUCUUGGGAGCUGAGGGCAUUUGCCCAGCUGCAAUCUCUGGCCUGAACUUGGUCCUGCAGAGGAGCAGAGCGCUCGAGGAGUGAAGUUUCUGCCAGGAUGUGAGACUAAUGGCCCAAAGCCUUUCCAACUCUUUGGAAACCUUCAGGAGGGGGUGAGUUCGCCAUCUCCAGAAGUGUCCGAGCAGCAGCUGGCCAUCACUUACAGCAGGAGAAGACUGGCUGACCUGGCCCAGGGCAUGCUUCCAGCCUUGGAAGUCCAUGAGCUUUCAGAAGGGGCAGCCGACGGCCGCCCAGAGGGGAUCCCACUUCCCUCAGCCUCUGUUUUGGCUGAUGGUGGACCUUGGGCACCAAGAAGGGCCCCCUGGUGAGUUCUCCAAGGUUACGGGCCUUGGGCCAAAUGACCGAAGUCCUUAAGGAAACUGUCCAUACCUUCGGGCAGUUGCCACAUUAGCCUCUGUCUGCCCAUUGAAUUGCUUUGCUCCCUCGGUCUGCACUCCUGGCGGAUUCUACCUGACGGGCUGGUGGCAGGUUCACGGAUGCCACUACAUUUAGGUUGCGGGUCAAGUCCAUUCAGAGAACAAAUAAUUAAAAAUAUAUUUUUUUUCCGUGAUGGGCAAUGCUGUGACACUGGGAUUAUUUUGUGAUGUGGGCUAGCAGAGUGCACUCCCAUCCUAGAUCAAGGACUUUGGAUUGGAUGAUGUCUGGACGUGACCAGGAGAAUAA
ensembl:lncRNA